UUUAUGGAGAGUUUGAUCCUGGCUCAGGAUGAACGCUGGCGGCGUGCCUAAUACAUGCAAGUCGAGCGAACGGAUGAGAAGCUUGCUUCUCUGAUGUUAGCGGCGGACGGGUGAGUAACACGUGGAUAACCUACCUAUAAGACUGGGAUAACUUCGGGAAACCGGAGCUAAUACCGGAUAAUAUUUUGAACCGCAUGGUUCAAAAGUGAAAGACGGUCUUGCUGUCACUUAUAGAUGGAUCCGCGCUGCAUUAGCUAGUUGGUAAGGUAACGGCUUACCAAGGCAACGAUGCAUAGCCGACCUGAGAGGGUGAUCGGCCACACUGGAACUGAGACACGGUCCAGACUCCUACGGGAGGCAGCAGUAGGGAAUC
rnacentral:rRNA from 1 species